CCCUAGCCCCGAUUGCAGCAAGUAUCCUUUUAUGGCCGAGCGCCAGCGAGGCCGUAAAAGAUACUGCGGAAAGCGGGAACCAGC
rnacentral:sRNA from 1 species